rnacentral:misc_RNA from 1 species
AAGUCGUAACAAGGUUUCCGUAGGUGAACCUGCGGAAGGAUCAUUAACAAAUUUUUGAGGGAUACACACCUGUGAAUUGGCCAGUCUAACUGGCAGCUUUAUGCAUGAUAGUUGUAGUCGUAUGUAAUGAUAAUUAAAAUACAACUUUUAACAAUGGAUCUCUAGGCUCUC